rnacentral:pre_miRNA from 1 species
AUGGGAUAAAUCUAUAGACAAAAUACAAUCCCAGACAACAAGAAGCUCCUAUAGCUCCUGUAGCUUCUUGUGCUCUAGGAUUGUAUUUUGUUUAUAUAU